rnacentral:rRNA from 1 species
AGCGUAGGUGGUCGGGUAAGUCAGAUGUCAAAUUUCGAUGCUCAACGUCGAAUCGCAUUUGAUACUGCCUGGCUAGAGGAAUUGAGAGGAGGCCGGAAUUCACGGUGUAGCAGUGAAAUGCGUAGAUAUCGUGAGGAAGACCAACGGCGAAAGCAGGCCUCUGGAAAUCUCCUGACACUGAGGCUCAAGGCCAGGGAGCAAAC